rnacentral:rRNA from 1 species
UACGUAGGGUGCGAGCGUUAAUCGGAAUUACUGGGCGUAAAGCGUGCGCAGGCGGUUUUGCAAGCCGGAUGUGAAAUCCCCGGGCUCAACCUGGGAAUGGCAUUCGGGACUGCAAGGCUGGAGUGCGGCAGAGGAGACUGGAAUUCCUGGUGUAGCAGUGAAAUGCGUAGAUAUUCGGAAGAACACCAGUGGCGAAGGCGACUUACUGGACACAUAUUGACGCUGAGGUGCGAAAGCGUGGGGAGCAAACAGG